AGCUCAGUUGGUCAGAGCGAGCGACUCAUAAUCGCCAGGUCGCUGGUUCAAGUCCAGCA
rnacentral:tRNA from 2 species